AGUGAACGCUGGCGGUAGGCCUAACACAUGCAAGUCGAACGGCAGCACAGUAAGAGCUUGCUCUUACGGGUGGCGAGUGGCGGACGGGUGAGGAAUACAUCGGAAUCUACUUUUUCGUGGGGGAUAACGUAGGGAAACUUACGCUAAUACCGCAUACGACCUACGGGUGAAAGCAGGGGAUCUUCGGACCUUGCGCGAAUGAAUAAACCGAUUUCGGAUUAGCUAGUUGGCGGGGUAAAGGCCCACCAAGGCAACGGUCCGUAGCUGGUCUGAGAGGAUGAUCGGCCACACUGGAACGGAGACACGGUCCAGCCUCCUACGGGAGGCAGCAGUGGGGAAUAUUGGACAAUGGGCGCAAGCCUGAUCCAGCCAUACCGCGUGGGUGAAGAAGGCCUUCGGGUUGUAAAGUCCUUUUGUUGGGAAAGAAAAUCAGGAGGUUAAUAAGCCGAUGUUCUGACGGUACCCAAAGAAUAAGCAACGGCUAACUACGUG
rnacentral:rRNA from 1 species